rnacentral:rRNA from 1 species
UUGAACGCUGGCGGAAUGCUUUACACAUGCAAGUCGAACGGUAGGAGGGGGCAACCCCUUGAGAGUGGCGAACGGGUGAGUAAUAUAUCGGAACGUGCCCAGUCGUGGGGGAUAACGUAGCGAAAGUUACGCUAAUACCGCAUACGAUCUAUGGAUGAAAGCGGGGGAUCGCAAGACCUCGCGCGAUUGGAGCGGCCGAUAUCAGAUUAGGUAGUUGGUGAGGUAAAGGCUCACCAAGCCGACGAUCUGUAGCUGGUCUGAGAGGACGACCAGCCACACUGGGACUGAGACACGGCCCAGACUCCUACGGGAGGCAGCAGUGGGGAAUUUUGGACAAUGGGCGCAAGCCUGAUCCAGCAAUGCCGCGUGCAGGAUGAAGGCCUUCGGGUUGUAAACUGCUUUUGUACGGAACGAAACGGUGAGCUCUAAUACAGUUUGCUAAUGACGGUACCGUAAGAAUAAGCACCGGCUAACUACGUG